CCUACGGGCGGCAGCAGUGGGGAAUAUUGCGCAAUGGGCGAAAGCCUGACGCAGCGACGCCGCGUGAGGGAUGAAGGUCUUCGGAUCGUAAACCUCUGUCAGGAGGGAAGAAGUGGUUAUAUGCGAAUAGUGUAUGACUUUGACGGUACCUCCAAAGGAAGCACCGGCUAACUCCGUGCCAGCAGCCGCGGUAAUACGGAGGGUGCGAGCGUUAAUCGGAAUCACUGGGCGUAAAGCGCGCGUAGGCGGCUUUUCAAGUCAGGGGUGAAAUCCCACGGCCCAACCGUGGAACUGCCUUUGAAACUGUAGAGCUUGAGUGUCGGAGAGGGUGGCGGAAUUCCAGGUGUAGGAGUGAAAUCCGUAGAUAUCUGGAGGAACACCGGUGGCGAAGGCGGCCACCUGGACGACAACUGACGCUGAGGUGCGAAAGCGUGGGUA
rnacentral:rRNA from 1 species